AUAUCAAUAAGCGGAGGAAAAGAAACCAACCGGGAUUCCUCAGUAACGGCGAGUGAAGCGGCAAAUGCCCAAAUUUGAAAUCUGACUUCGGUCCGAAUUGUAAUUUGCAGAGGAACCUCCCCAAAAAACCGCGGGGGAAGUGCCCUGGAACGGGCCAUCUUGGAGGGUGAGAAUCCCGUCCUCCCGCCGGGUUUUUGUAGGUGUUGGUCCUUCGACGAGUCGAGUUGUUUGGGAAUGCAGCUCAAAAUAGGUGGUAAAUUCCAUCCAAAGCUAAAUACCGGCCGGAGACCGAUAGCGCACAAGUA
rnacentral:rRNA from 1 species